rnacentral:rRNA from 1 species
AUUGAACGCUGGCGGAAUGCUUUACACAUGCAAGUCGAACGGUAGAGGGGGCAACCCCUUGAGAGUGGCGAACGGGUGAGUAAUAUAUCGGAACGUGCCCAGUCGUGGGGAUAACGUAGCGAAAGUUACGCUAAUACCGCAUACGAUCUAAGGAUGAAAGCGGGGGAUCGCAAGACCUCGCGCGAUUGGAGCGGCCGAUAUCAGAUUAGGUAGUUGGUGAGGUAAAGGCUCACCAAGCCAACGAUCUGUAGCUGGUCUGAGAGGACGACCAGCCACACUGGAACUGAGACACGGUCCAGACUCCUACGGGAGGCAGCAGUGGGGAAUUUUGGACAAUGGACGCAAGUCUGAUCCAGCCAUUCCGCGUGCAGGAUGAAGGCCCUCGGGUUGUAAACUGCUUUUGUACGGAACGAAAAGGUCCCUAUUAAUAACUAGGGGCUCAUGACGGUACCGUAAGAAUAAGCACCGGCUAACUAACGUGCAGCAGCCGCGGUAAAGU